AUUGAACGCUGGCGGUAUGCUUAACACAUGCAAGUCGAACGGCAGCAUUUUCUAGCUUGCUAGAGAGAUGGCGAGUGGCGAACGGGUGAGUAACGCGUAGGAAUAUGCCUUAAAGAGGGGGACAACUUGGGGAAACUCAAGCUAAUACCGCAUAAUCUCCAUGGAGAAAAGCUAGGGACCUUCGGGCCUGGCGCUUUAAGAUUAGCCUGCGUACGAUUAGCUAGUUGGUAGGGUAAAGGCCUACCAAGGCGACGAUCGUUAGCUGGUCUGAGAGGAUGACCAGCCACACUGGAACUGAGACACGGUCCAGACUCCUACGGGAGGCAG
rnacentral:rRNA from 1 species